rnacentral:rRNA from 1 species
AUGGAUCGAGACUCAGAGGUAGUAUCAGCAAUCAAGGUUGAUAUCCUUCUUGUUGUGCUCACCGUUCUUGUGGUGUUACUGUGGUGUCUCAGCUCGCGCCGGAGCCGUAUCAGCCGUCACACGCUCGGCCGCUACUUCCUUGCGGGUGCCUCCGCGGCAUACUUCUCACUUAUUUUGUACCUCGUCUCCUACUUGAUCACCGGCGUAGCAUAUAGAUUGGGCGGCCCAACACUGAUUAGGCUGGUGGUCCUCCUCCAAUUUCUCAAGUCCAACGCUGACAUGGCUGCCCUGGCAGUGGCCGCCAUUGCCUCACCUACGGCCGGUGAUGACAUCGACAGCCAAAAGACCAGGCCAUCCAUGGAGAACCUCAUGUCCUCUCUCUGGGUGGCGGGCCUCGUCGGCUACUACAUACUCCAAGAAAGUAACCACUUCAUAGUACUUCUCCAAAUAUUUCUGACAUGGGCGCUCGGUGUUGCUAGAAUAGUGCUUAGGUUUGUCGCCUUCCAACGCGCAAACCGUUCUUUUGCUGUUGGCCGCAACGCCCGGCUGAUCGAGGGCUACAUGGCGCAGCUCCAAGAACAAGAAGGCCACUUGGUGCCGGUACCCCGCCUCAUACUAACAGGAGAGACAGAACUGGAUGUGGAAGAAAGCCCCCAAGGGUAUCGUGUCAAGGAAGAUGAAUCAAGUAGCCUUGUUACACUGGACAAAGUCUGGUCAUCUCCUCACUUUUCCCCAGAGGUUAAGGACCUCUGCCUCUCAUUCUCUCUUUUCAAGUGCUUGCGCCGGCAAUUCGCCGGCUACCGGUUGGCCGAGGCUGGCUCUAGCUGGGCUUUCCGUUUCGUCUGCGAUGGAUUGCUCGGUCAGGAAGACGAUCACGUGAGGAUGUUCCAGGUGAUCUCCACCGAGCUCUCGUUCGCAAGCGAUUUCUACUACUCCCCACUCCCAGUGGCCUCUUUGGGCGCAUGUUCCGCAGCUUUCCACAUCUUCUUCUCUGCCACAGUUUGUGGCCUUGUAUUCCUCAUGCUUCUGGGGUUUUUAAUCGUCUGCUUCGAAGUGGGUUUUCGGCAUCAGCCCGCAGUGGUGAUUGUCAUGUUUUUUCCUCUCCCUGUUGUUGUCGCCCUGCUAACUUUAUCCAUCGAGAUUGCAGAGAUGGUGACCGGUGUGCGCUCUAACUGGACCAAGAUAAGUAUGGUUGGCCACUACAUCAACCAAUCUUGUUGGCUCAAGAUAAUCUGCCCAUGUUUGCUAAGAUGCAAAUCCCCAGUGUGUUGGAAGGAUGAGAUUGGGCAGAACCUUUUCCUUAAGCCUAACAGUAUUCCCUCGGCUCAUACGUUCAAGCAGAUAUUCUUCCCAAGGAAGAACCAUUACAGGCCUGCUGUGACCAAGCUGUCACCAGAUGUGAAGGGUGCCAUCAUCAGAUCCUUGAAGAAGAGCGGCGGGAAGCUGAGCAAUGGUAUAGCCACUGUACAACGCCGGUUCCCUCACUUCACAUGGGCAUGCUACGACAGAGUCACCACCAGCACGGAUGCUAUCCUUGUAUGGUACAUAGCCACAUUCCUCGUUGAGAUCAAAUGUUCUUCGCCUGCUUCGGCCCCAACCACACACAUGGUCGUCGCCACUAGCUUGUCACGGUACUGUGCAUACUUGGUGGCACACACUCCAGAGUUGCUGCCGGACAGUGCCACCUGGACGAAGCACCGCUACGAGAAGGUGAAGAAAUGUGUUGAAGAAGCAUGCAACUGCAGUGGUGAAGUGUCAUCAAGCCCAGGCUUGUAUUCGCAUCCCAUUGAAUCUUUUGGUGACGACAACUCCAUCCCCGACUCCAACUCCGAUGAGAUGGUGGAAAUAGAAAGAUUGAGAUCGGGAUCGAGGUUUGGGAAUCAGUUAACAGAAGAGGAGGUGGUAAAGAUAGGAUUAAAGCUUGGAAGGCAGCUAGUGGAAGAGGCUAAAAGGCAGAGAUAUCCCCAAGGACAAGGCCAAGAACAAUGUACUGGAGGUGAAGAGACGGUGUGGGAGAUCCUGGCGGAGUACUGGUCAGAGAUGAUACUCUACCUCGCGCCGUCGAAGGAUGUGACGGGCCACAUUGAAGCCUUGCGACGAGGUGGCGAGCUGAUCACCCUCCUAUGGGCGCUGCUACUACACGCCGGCAUCACCUCCAGGCCUGCUCAUGACGUCCCUCGUCCUUGA